rnacentral:pre_miRNA from 1 species
UGGACAGAUUAUUGUAUUCGACUGUAUUUACGGCGUGAAAUAGGGGAUUACACUGUUUUUAAAAAGGAAAGUGAAUCAAUUAACAUAAUAGACUCCU